GAUGAACGCUGGCGGCGUGCCUAACACAUGCAAGUCGAGCGAUCUUCUUCGGAAGAGAGCGGCGGACGGGUGAGUAACGCGUGGGUAACCUGCCUCAUACACAUGGAUAACAUACCGAAAGGUAUGCUAAUACAAGAUGAUAUAAGAGAUUCGCAUGGAUUUCUUAUCAAAGCUUUUGCGGUAUGAGAUGGACCCGCGUCUGAUUAGCUAGUUGGUAAGGUAAUGGCUUACCAAGGCAACGAUCAGUAGCCGACCGGAGAGGGUGAUCGGCCACAUUGGAACUGAGACACAGUCCAAACUCCUACGGGAGGCAGCGGUGGGGAAUAUUGCACAAUGGGCGAAAGCCUGAUGCGGCAACGCCGCGUGAGCGAUGAAGGCCUUCGGGUCGUAAAGCUAUGUCCUCAAGGAAGAUAAUGACGGUACUUGAGGAGGAAGCCCCGGCUAACUACGUGCCAGCCGCCGCAGUAAUAC
rnacentral:rRNA from 1 species